CCUGCACAUCUCCAAUGAUGGACCUUAAAGUUUUCCAAGAUUCAUCAUUUGGUGAAAGCCACGAGCAUCAAAGUAGUGAAUGGUAGAUGUUUGGAUGGUGAAGUCGGCCAUGAUGCCUGAGCUGGAGAAGACAGACUGGUCUGGCAGCAUUGGGGAGAAGAUGAUAUGGACACAGGUCUCUCCCCUCUGUAUCCUGGUGUGGAUGGGCGCAAGUCACCCUCACCUGUAUGGGCAUGCAUGUGGCACGGAGAGCUCAGCAGAGAGAACAGCCAUGAAUGGAGACAAAUGGUGCCUCUGAAUGAGCCUCUUCGACCCUCCUGAAAUCACGGGCAACUUUUGGUUCCGGACAUUUGCUCAACUAGUGUGAAGAUCAACUCCUCUGGAAUUUUAGUCCAAGACAAGUGUCCACUUAGAAAUGUCCCAGAGCCUCCCUUUCUGCAGAAAAUGAAGACAUGGGAAUUCAGCUCCCUCCUCCUUCCUGCUCCAGCUGUCAGGAAGCUUAGGGGCAAACUGAGCCCCUUGCUCUGAGGGCCUGGUCACAUACAUUCCCUGGGCUUCCUUCCUUCCAGGCCUCUUUGUUUUGUUUUAUUCCUAUAAGAUAGUUACUGUCCUUAGCUUUUAAAUCUUAAUAAGAAGGAUCUAAGGAGUUGCUAUUUAUAACUCUGCAAACGAAGAAAGAACAAUAAUUUGAUAUAUUCUAUCACCCAAACAAA